AGUGAACGCUGGCGGUAGGCCUAACACAUGCAAGUCGAACGGCAGCACAGUAAGAGCUUGCUCUUACGGGUGGCGAGUGGCGGACGGGUGAGGAAUACAUCGGAAUCUACUUUUUCGUGGGGGAUAGCGUAGGGAAACUUACGCUAAUACCGCAUACGACCUACGGGUGAAAGCAGGGGAUCUUCGGACCUUGCGCGAUUGAAUGAGCCGAUGUCGGAUUAGCUAGUUGGCGGGGUAAAGGCCCACCAAGGCGACGAUCCGUAGCUGGUCUGAGAGGAUGAUCAGCCACACUGGAACUGAGACACGGUCCAGACUCCUACGGGAGGCAGCAGUGGGGAAUAUUGGACAAUGGGCGCAAGCCUGAUCCAGCCAUACCGCGUGGGUGAAGAAGGCCUUCGGGUUGUAAAGCCCUUUUGUUGGGAAAGAAAAGCAGCAGGUUAAUACCCCGCUGUUCUGACGGUACCCAAAGAAUAAGCGCCGGCUAACUUCGUG
rnacentral:rRNA from 1 species